UGCCAGCCGCCGCGGUAACACGUAGGCACCAAGCGUUAUCCGGAUUUAUUGGGCGUAAAGAGCUCGUAGGCGGUUUGGUAAGUCGGGUGUGAAAACUCUGGGCUCAACCCAGAGAGGCCACUCGAUACUGCUAUGACUAGAGUACGGUAGGGGAGCGGGGAAUUCCUGGUGUAGCGGUGAAAUGCGCAGAUAUCAGGAGGAACACCAGCGGCGAAGGCGGCUUUCUGGACCGAUACUGACGCUGAGACGCGAAAGCGUGGGGAGCAAACAGGAUUAGAUA
rnacentral:rRNA from 1 species